GUUAGGGACACUUCGACUUGAGACAUGGGGCAGCCCCGGGACUCGAACCACCAACCUUGCAGUUCCCAGCACACCCGCUCUACCCCCUGCGCCACGACGACGUUUGGUGCUUGUUCCCCUCAGUGUCAGAACGUGAUCCGCAGGGACACGUUGUAAACCUUCUCCAAUCUGAUGGGCUUUACAGCCCAACAUAUAUCGUCUUCAGCCCCACUUUGACAGCACAACACUAAUCUACAUCAACGCUAUACUUAAUGCUCCAGGCAGUCAUUUGAUGUUUCUAAAAUCAAAUGACUGCCCCUUUAUGUUGCUAGUCCUGCUGAUCCGACAGACUGAGCACAUUCAAGCAUUCAUGCUGAGUCACGCAGUGGAAGAAGUGUUUAAAGUAAAAUAACUAAUCCACCAAAGGGGAAGCCCGACAUUCUAAGGCAAAACACAUGUUUUUCACUUCCUUUUUUUUUUUUUUUUUUUUAAAUGUCUACCCCCAUGUGUGAAUUUCUAUUUGACAAUAGUGAACGUGAUACAUUCAUUGAUAAUAUGAUACCUGACAAAAAGCAUUUAAACACUUGGAAAAAAAUGCUUUUAGUAUGGAGUGAUUUAAUGUAAUUUAUCCCCAGAGGACUCUGCUCCUGCAGGAUGAAACAUGAAGUCCCACCAGCCAUCAGCUGCUCUCAGGCUUGGAACAGAGAUAAAACCAGGGGUGGCCCAACUUUUUCAGAUUGUGGGGUGUAUAUAAAAAGACAAUAAAUGCAUAGUCGACAAAUCAAAUGUCAAAGAGAAGUCAUUAUCCAUCAAAAAAAUACUUGACAUUGAUGCGCCCAGAUAUUGCAGAAUGUUUUUAACGUCAUACUUUUAAUUUUCUAACAAAGAGCACGGCGAAGGUGGCCUCUUAAUAUACUAUGUUGCAAUAUGUAAAAAUAUAAAAACAAAAGAGGUAAAUAUGCAACUCUAAGAAUAAGAUGCAGCCAGCAGAAGUAGUGUUAAAUGUUGGUAAAUGUUCCAAGAGGUGAAACCAGAGAGCAAAACACAGCCUUAAAAUAUUGUGAUAAAUGUGCAGUGUGUUUUAUUAGAAAUACGAUCAGACCAUGUUCUAGUUUUAUUUGUAAAACCUCCCUCCUGGUCACAGUUUGCCAACACAGGCUCAUAUACUACUACUACUACUGUAUAAAUCAGUUGUUGGGUUUGUGUGGGCUGCAGUGCAUCUGAAAAAGCACGUUCUGUAAAACAAACGCACUUGGGAGCGGUUGGCGAGUGAUUUAUCAGUGACAGUGGGCUGACUUGUCGUCUCACAGGGAGGAUUUCCAUCGCCUUUGCUGUAGUUCACAAUGUAUAUGUACUUACAUAAACUCUGCCCCGGGCGCUCGUGAGUUGUGCUACAAAUAAAUUGGACCGCCGUUGGGGAUGUGCAUGCUGAUGAUGAAUGAUUUAUCAUUUUUACAUUAUAAAUGGUACCAGAGGGGUGUCAGAAAUAAAAAAGAAACACAAUUCUGCUCAAUUUUCAAAUCAAAUAACGUGAGGCCAAUAGGAUUUUACUGAGUCAAGUUCUUAAAAGAAGACGUAUAUUUAGGAGGCCAGAUGUCUCAAAGCUGACACGUUUUUAGAGUCAGUAAAAGAACAAAUUUGUUCAAUAACACAUUUAAGUGUUUUUUUGCCUCUGGGUUGACGGCGCCCUCUAGAAAGUGUCGACGCAGCUGGGUGCGGUUUGAUUAACAGGUUUUGACAUGUGUCAAGCAGUUGAACGCAAAGCCUGCAGCAUAAUAAUCCUGUUAUGUUUAAUUCUGUUGUGUCGGUUCAUAUUGUUGCACCUUGCAAAUGAAUUCACCCAGACCUCGAGUUUGUCAUGUUUUCAGUAUGGUUUUAAACUGCACGCCCUCAGUCGUUUGGUACAAAUGUGUCAAAUCGUACAUCCAAGUGUGUGUUUUAAUCGUGCACACUUACUCGUUUCAUUGCCAUUACCUUGGAUGUGCUUGACUCCUGCACUUUGUGGUUUGGCCGGUAGAGGGCGUAGUGGUUCUACUCUGCUGCACUUCAUCACCCGAGCCUUCCAGAGCCUACUGGGUGAUGAAGUGCAGGAUCCAGGGAGCCCCCCUCCUCCCCUCCCCCCGCUCCCUCGACCCACCUGUCAAAUUUGGUUUCUUCCCCACAUUAACCCUUCCACUGGGAGGCGAGGGCGGCCCCCGGGUGUUCUGCUGGUUUAGCCGAAGACGCCAUAAACAGACAGAAAAACACUCGCAUCGCCCUUGGGGUUGUCCUUCCUUGCUUGACACGUUCCAUAGUGGCCCAUUGGGGAGCGCAGCACCUCCUAUUGACAGCAACAGUGUCAAGAGUCACAUCCACUGGAAGUUUGUGGUCUUGAGUGGAGAUUGCAUCCAUCCAGAGGGCGAUGCGCCUGUUAGGAUACGAGCCGCAGGCAGCCCGGGGAGCGGAGUGAUGAGACUGCUGGUGUAUGAGGAGCCAUUACUCCUGCUGUCCUCUCAGACAUCGAUGCCAUGUCUAUCACAGCCAGUGAGCCACUCUGAGUGCUCCCUGCAAAACGCACGAGAGACCACGGCCGAGCCUUAGCUGUGUGACACUUGGAUCUGACGCUUGUCAUGGGAGGAUGCAUUCAGAGAGUUGUUUGCUUACAUUCAAUAAAGCCAGUGCUUGGCAGUCGUAUUGCAAUUUCCUCUCCAACAACACGCAGCAAUGAUUUAAUCACUUGAGCCAACAAGGGCGAUGCCAUUCCACUUAAUUCCCUACAUCAAUCAUUGCAUGGUGUUGCACGCAGUCUGUGAUGAUGAUUUGGGACUAAUUUGGCCCAGUAUAUCCUUUUGAGCUGUGUUUCGUAUUAAUUUUUCUAUUUGGGAAUAAUUUACUGACUGUGGUCCUGUUCCAGUUAACGUUCAUGAGAGACUGCAGCGAGCCCGACGCUAAUCUGCGGCCAUCUUUUGCUGCGUCCUUAAAACCUCUCUGGACCUCAUCAAUGGGUCAUUUUUAACAAACCUACAGAAAGGUUCUACUGAAAGGUCAACUAAAGUCAAUGCUUUUUCUUCCAGCAAAUGUUAUACUGUAUGUGGGAUAACUCCUAAUGUGCAUCAAAAACAUUACCGAUGGUUGCAUUCCAUUUCGGCGAUUCAGUUCCAGACCUGCACACUAGUGCACUUAACAGGAUGGACACGGCACACUGAAAUGAGUCUACUCCCCAAAAGGCCUUGUUUCUGGAGGCGGUGAACGGUGCGGCCUCGCUCUACAGCAGUGUAGUGUAGCUGUUGGAUGCCAGGGGAACCUUUUGGGUUCAAAAAGUUGGAAUGGUAUUUUAACUUAGCAUGAAGCGUGGACACAGGGGGAAACUGCUAGCUUGAUAUAUCUUCAAAUAUCAGUCAAAAGUACGCUUCACCUGUCUUAAUUAUACAUGUUGAAAGACGGAAAAGGUCAAAAACUCUGUUUUGAAGAUGUGUUCUGUUUCCCUUGUGAUGCAGCCACGGUUAGCAAUGACGUCCCCGGCGCUAAACGGCUUACAGAAGGCCGGCGGUCUCUCUCUCUCUCUCUGCCCCCCUCCCCGUGUCCCUUUGUCUCAUCCUGCAUCCCCCCUCCCCACCACCUCAUCCCAUCUUCCCUUUAUUCACCGGAGUCCUGCUAAAUUGAAUGCUAUUUCGGAGGCGUGAUGGUGUUCAGUGAGACGAGCGGUCGAGGGCGACCAGGAGGAGAAUCGAUCGGACACGGGCCUGAGCACAGCGAUGCAUAGUUCUGACCCGGGGCCACUUGGUAUUGAACCCCCUACCCAGAGUCCUCCUGGGUGAGAAAACACACCAGAGCUGCUCUUAAUUGUGGUGUAUUUGAACAAGCGGUUAUGUGUUCUUCACAUUGCACAAAGAGACGCUGACCUGCAAUUCAGCCCCAAAAAGACUUAGUCGUAGUUAUUGAGACACAUACAGGCCUCUGAACUUUAAAAGCAAUGCUGUUGUGCCCCCGGCGGAUUGAUGUUGGCGGGGAGGCUCUCCUCUUUGUCUUUUUUGAUGCUGCCACAGAGGUUUCACGGCCGUCACAGAAGCAAUAUCACAUAAAUCUGCUGUCUUCUGAAUUGAGACGAGCUGCGUCCAGGCGCCUUCGGGAGCGUGAACGGGAUGGAGGGGGGGGUCAUCCGUCAGGCUGACGGCGUCCGGGAAAUUGGCAGGCUUACUUCAAUUUCCAACGCGCGGCCGGUGUAUAGGCAUCACGCAGAGGCGCUCCCCCCACGCCGCCCCCCUCCAUCCAUCGAUUGAAUCCUCGCAAACCUUUUAUGCAGCAUGUAUGCGAGCAUCACUGCGGGUGUGCCACCAAGUCACAGUUAAAUGAAUGCUUAUAAUGCAUCGUGCUCAGGUGGUCCAUAGACAAACCUUUUCAUUCCUGGUUUGUGCUCUGAUGAUCCUCUCCUUGAUCCUAUCGGCCCAUAAUUAUCGUGUCGUUUGGCAUCGUGAGCGAGAGAAUGAUAGCAUGAUUCUGGGUCAAAAUACGGAUGCAAGGAUCUGACUUUUCCUCCAAAACACGUUGUUGUUCAUUUCUUAUUUACAUCGUCAAAUAAUAAAGGGGUUCAUGGACGUCAUCUACCCCCCUCCCCCGUCUUGGAGAUGAAAGCAUUUUUGUAAUCAAAUGAAAAAAAAAUGAAAAGCAAUUUCUAAUCAAAAAUGUCUUUGUCUGUGCAGCUCACAGCCUCUUCGGGAGGACUAACCUCUGAUGUGCUUUUGGAAAAUGACGGAUGAGUGCAAUGAACGCCAUAGCAUCCUCAGGCAGAUACAGCCUUAUAAUUUGAGCAAAAGCUCUCUGAUCUCCGGGAUGAUAGAUCACACCGUGCUCUCUUUCAAAACACAAGAACUCACUCGCACCAUUUCGCGUUCGAUCGGAUUUAUAACGAGCACUUUCUUUCCUUUUAAAGCAGGAAGGUGAGCUCGGCUGUGCAUGGUGCAUACGAAGAGCUUGACAACACUGACCUUCUUUUCCUUCCAGGGAAAAGCUCUCCCACCCGUGACCUGACUGUUACCUUUGACAACUCCAUCAUGUUUUCUGGAAUAGAUUGUACUUUCUGUAUUCUUGUUGUUCUGGGUCUGUACCCUCUUGCUAGAAUGCACUUGUUGUGAGUCCCUUGGGAUAAAAGCGUCUAAAUGAAAAA